rnacentral:lncRNA from 1 species
UAAAGUGUUUAUGCCUAGUUAAAAGAAGCACCGACACAUGCUUUUUACCAACGAGCCACUUCAACACACGAAAUAACAAUUGUAUUUAUAUACAAAUAUUUAAAUCAACCAUAUAUGUAUAAUAUUAAAAUAAGAAAGAUAGAUUGGUAUUGGCUAAUGUAAGAAGACGAGGAUAACCUAGGGUUAAAUCUCAACCAUUGAUAAAGUUUGAUCUAAUGGAUAAAAUGCUUUACUUUUUAAUAUAUUUUUUCUUCUUUUUUUCCUUUCUCUCCUAUUUGUUCACAUCUAUCGAUCUCUUAUUUUUCAUCUCUUUUGUUUCUCUAUCUCUCAUUUCUUCUCCAGAUCUGCUAAUCUCUUCAUCUAUUCUAUCUCCUCUGCGAUCUCCAUCACGUCCUUAUGCUCCCGUUGUGUAAGGCGUGGUCUUCUGUCCGGUCAUCUCCUUGGUGGUCUCCUCCUCUCCAGUGGUAGCCCAGGCUCAUCUCCGGUUGUCUCUUUAGCGGUCACAGUCCAGUCUCCUCUCUGCUCAUCCACAGUUCAAUUUUCUCUCUGAUCUUCCAUCGUCAUGGCUCCUCUCCACUCCUCUUCAGUCCAUGCUCCUCUCUGGUUUGAAGUGGAAGCUAUGUCAGAUCCAUCUCAGCAUCUCAACACAAACAUUUUCAACUUUUGUUGUCUUUAAUUUCACCUCUUAGUAUUAGAUUUUUUUCUCGUGUAUAAAAAGUUUGACAUCAACAUUUUGGUUACGU